rnacentral:rRNA from 1 species
UGGCGGCAUGCCUUACACAUGCAAGUCGAACGGCAGCACGGGAGCAAUCCUGGUGGCGAGUGGCGAACGGGUGAGUAAUAUAUCGGAACGUGCCCGGUCGUGGGGGAUAACGUAGCGAAAGCUACGCUAAUACCGCAUACGAUCUACGGAUGAAAGCGGGGAUCGCAAGACCUCGCGCGAUUGGAGCGGCCGAUAUCAGAUUAGGUAGUUGGUGAGGUAAAGGCUCACCAAGCCGACGAUCUGUAGCUGGUCUGAGAGGACGACCAGCCACACUGGGACUGAGACACGGCCCAGACUCCUACGGGAGGCAGCAGUGGGAAUUUUGGACAAUGGGCGCAAGCCUGAUCCAGCAAUGCCGCGUGCAGGAUGAAGGCCUUCGGGUUGUAAACUGCUUUUGUACGGAACGAAACGGUGAGCUCUAAUACAGUUUGCUAAUGACGGUACCGUAAGAAUAAGCACCGGCUAACUACGUG